CCUACGGGAGGCAGCAGUGAGGAAUAUUGGUCAAUGGCCGGGAGGCUGAACCAGCCAAGUCGCGUGAGGGAAGACGGCCCUACGGGUUGUAAACCUCUUUUGUCCGGGAGUAAGUUGCAGUUCGGGACCUGCUUUGAAAGUACCUUAAGAAAAAGCAUCGGCUAACUCCGUGCCAGCAGCCGCGGUAAUACGGAGGAUUCGAGCGUUAUCCGGAUUUAUUGGGUUUAAAGGGAGCGUAGGUGGAUUGUUAAGUCAGUUGUGAAAGUUUGCGGCUCAACCGUAACAUUGCAGUUGAUACUGGCAGUCUUGAGUACAGUAGAGGUGGGCGGAAUUCGUGGUGUAGCGGUGAAAUGCAUAGAUAUCACGAAGAACUCCGAUUGCGAAGGCAGCUCACGGGACUGCAACUGACACUGAGGCUCGAAAGUGUGGGUAUCAAACAGGAUUAGAUACCCGGGUAGUC
rnacentral:rRNA from 1 species